rnacentral:ncRNA from 3 species
GAUGAUGUUCUCUGCGACGAGCUGAACGAUAUU